rnacentral:pre_miRNA from 1 species
GAACUACUCCCUCCGUACGGAAUUACUUGUCACCAAAAUGGAUGUAUCUAGAACUAAAAUACAUCUAGAUACAUCCAUUUCAAUGACGAGUAUUUCCGAACGGAGGGAGUACUUG